rnacentral:rRNA from 1 species
UACAGAGGUCCCAAGCGUUGUUCGGAUUCACUGGGCGUAAAGGGUGCGUAGGUGGCGGGGUAAGUCGGAUGUGAAAUCUCCGAGCUCAACUCGGAAAUGGCAUUGGAAACUACCUUGCUCGAGGGUUGGAGGGGGGACUGGAAUGCUUGGUGUAGCAGUGAAAUGCGUAGAUAUCUGGAGGAAUACCGGUGGCGAAGGCGGCAUCCUGGACCGGCAUUGACGCUGAGGAGCGAAAGCUAGGGGAGCAAACGGG